ACAUCCGGGUGUGGGGUGGUGUGCGCAUGCGCGACAUCCGGGGAAUCCACGGGUGACAUCCGGGUACUGCGCGGACGCCGCAUGCGCAAACGUAAAGCACGAUCAGUACGCAUGCGCAACAUCCGGGAAUCAGAAAAGAACAUACGGGUAUUGAGGGCAGGGCGCAUGCGUAGUACCGGAUGCGAAUAAUACGCAUGCGUAACAUCCGGGGAUUCAGGGUUUCAUCCGGGUAUUAAGGGACGAGCGCAUGCGCAGCAGUGGAAAAAGAAUAGUACGCAUGCGCAACAUCCGGGUAAUGAAAGGGAAGAUUAGUGUAUUGAGGGUAAAGCGCAUGCGCAAAGGUCAAACGCGAAUAAUACGCAUGCGCAACAUCCGGGUAAUGCAAAGGAACAUCCGGGUGUUGAGGGCAUUGCGCAUGCGCGGUGGUUGAAAGGGAAUAGUGCGCAUGCGCGUUAUCCGGGUGCUAGAAAUAGACAUCCGGGUAUCUUAGUUGCGCAUGCGCGGUAUCACGGUUAACCACUGCGCAUGCGCAACAUCCGGGAACUCCGUGCCUCAACCAGGGACCGCCAACAUCACGUGUCCACCGCAACGGUCAACCGGGGCGCCAACAUCCGGGCACCGGGAUCACAAAAAGAAGGGCAGAUUUGGGCCAAUCGUAAACGUCGGGAACGAAGGAUUCGUAUUCAUAAGUCCAAACUUUGGAACGAACGGGAAAGACGGGGGGUUGGAGGACUUCCGGAGGUGUUGGAGGACUCAGCGACACCCAUAGGAGGAGGCGGCAGCCGUUGGAGGACUCAACGACCCCCAUAGGAGGACUCAAAAGCCAUAGGAGGACCCAACAACUCCCAUAGAACAACUCAACACCCACAGGAGGACCCAACAACCCCCAUAGGAGGACUCAAAACCCGUUGGAGGACUCAACAACCCCCCGUAGGAGGACUCAAAACCCAUAGGAGGACUCAACGACCCCCGCUGGAGGACUCAACACCCAUAGAAGGAUCCAAUGACCCCCAUAGGAGGACUCAAAACCUGUUGGAGGACCCAAUGACCCCCGCUGGAGGACUCAACACCCAUAGGAGGAUCUAAUGACCCCCAUAGGAGGACUCAAAACCUGUUGGAGGACUCAACAACCCCCCGUAGGAGGACUCCAAACCCCUUGGAGGACCAACGACCCCCAUAGGAGAACUCAACACCCAUAGAAAGACUCCAAACCCCCUUGGAGGACCCACCGACGCCCAUAGGAGUACCCAACACCCACAGGACGACUCAAAACCCCUCGGAGGACCCAACAACCCCCAUAGAACAACUCAAAACCCACUGGAGGACCCAACAACCCCCAUAAGAGGACUCAACACCCAUAGGAGGACUCCAAACCCCCUUGGAGGACCCAACGACCCACAUAGGAGGACCCAACACCCACAGGACGACUCAAAACCCCUCGGAGGACCCAGCGACCCCCAUAGAACAACUCAACGCCCACAGGAGGACUCAAAACCCCUUGGAGGACCAACAACCCUCAUGGAACAACUCAACACCCACAGGACAACUCAACACUCAUAGGAGGACCCAACAACCCCCAUAGGAGGACUCCAAACCCCUUGGAGGACCCAACACCCAUAGGAGGACUCCAAACCCCCUUGGAGGAUCCAAGGACCUCCAUAGAACAACUCAACACCCACAGAAUGACUCAACACCCCCAGAAAGCCUCAAAGACCCCACAGGAGGACUCAACACCCAUAGGAGGACCCAACACCCAUAGAAAAACCCAACACCCAUAGGAGGACCCAACAACUCCCAUAGAACAACUCAA
ensembl:lncRNA